rnacentral:rRNA from 1 species
UUCCGGUUGAUCCCGCCGGAGGCUACCGCUAUUGGAGUUCGAUUAAGCCAUGCGAGUCGCGAGACUUAGAAUCUCGGCGUACCGCUCAGUAACACGUGGGUAACCUGCCCUAUGCUAGGGGAUAACCUCGGGAAACUGAGAAUAAUACCCUAUAGUUCACCACACCUGGAACGGUGGGUGGAUGAAAGCUCCGGCGGCAUAGGAUGGGCCUGCGGCGUAUCAGGUUGUAGGGGGUGUAAUGUACCCUCUAGCCAUCUACGCGUACGGGUGUUGAGAGACAUCGCCCGGAGAUGGAUUCUGAGACACGAAUCCAGACCCUACGGGGUGCAGCAGGCGCGAAAACUUGGCAAUGCGAGCAAUCGUGACCAGGGAACUCCAAGUGCAUCGGGUAAGACCGAUGCUUUUCUUGACUCUUCAAAGGUCUUGGAAUAAGGGGUGGGUAAGGACGGUGCCAGCCGCCGCGGUAAUACCGGCGCCUCAAGUGGUAGUCGCUUUUAUUGGGCCUAAAACGUCCGUAGCCGGUUUGGUACAUUCGUGGGUAAAUCAAGACGCUCAACGUCUUGAAUUCUGCGAGCACGGCCAGACUUGGGACCGGGUGAGGUGUGGGGUACUCUCAGGGUAGGGGUAAAAUCCUGUCAUCCUGAGAGGACCACCUGUUGCGAAGGCGCCACACUAGAACGGAUUCGACGGUCAGGGACGAAGCCAGAGGGGCACGAACCGGAUUAGAUACCCGGGUAGUCCUAGGUGUAAACGCU